CCAGACUCCUACGGGAGGCAGCAGUGGGGGAUAUUGCACAAUGGGGGAAACCCUGAUGCAGCAACGCCGCGUGAGUGAAGAAGGUCUUCGGAUUGUAAAGCUCUGUUCUUGGUGAAGAUAAUGACGGUAGCCAAGGAGAAAGCUCCGGCUAACUACGUGCCAGCAGCCGCGGUAAUACGUAGGGAGCGAGCGUUGUCCGGAUUUACUGGGUGUAAAGGGUGCGCAGGCGGCUCUGCAAGUCAGGCGUGAAAGCUAGGGGCUCAACCCCUAAAUUGCGCUUGAAACUGUGGAGCUUGAGUGAAGUAGAGGCAGGCGGAAUUCCCGGUGUAGCGGUGAAAUGCGUAGAGAUCGGGAGGAACACCAGUGGCGAAGGCGGCCUGCUGGGCUUUAACUGACGCUCAGGCACGAAAGCAUGGGUAGCAAACAGGAUUAGAUACCCUAGUA
rnacentral:rRNA from 1 species